rnacentral:rRNA from 1 species
ACAAUGGGCGAAAGCCUGAUGCAGCAAUGCCGCGUGUGUGAAGAAGGCUGCGGGUUGUAAAGCACUUUCAGUAGGGASGAMACAGUUGCGGSYYAAUAUCCCGCGACCUUGACGUUACCUACAGAAGAAGCACCGGCUAACUCUGUGCCAGCAGCCGCGGUAAUACAGAGGGUGCAAGCGUUAAUCGGAAUUACUGGGCGUAAAGCGCGCGUAGGCGGCUUGGUCAGUCGGAUGUSMAAGCCCCGGGCUUAACCUGGGMMUUGCAUUCGAUACUGCCAGGCUAGAAUGUAGUAGAGGGAAGUGGAAUUCCAGGUGUAGCGGUSAAAUGCGUAGAUAUCUGGAGGAACAUCAGUGGCGAAGGCCGACUUCCUGGACUAACAUUGACGCUGAGGUGCGAAAGCGUGGGGCCCAAACAGGAUUAGUACCVUGUAGUCCACGCCGUAAA